rnacentral:rRNA from 1 species
CUGGCUCAGGACGAACGCUGGCGGCGUGCUUAACACAUGCAAGUCGAGCGAUGAAGCUCUUCGGAAGUGGAUUAGCGGCGGACGGGUGAGUAACACGUGGGUAACCUGCCUCAUAGAGGGGAAUAGCCUUCCGAAAGGAAGAUUAAUACCGCAUAAGAUUGUAAUAUCGCAUGAUAUAGCAAUUAAAGGAGCAAUCCGCUAUGAGAUGGACCCGCGUCGCAUUAGCUAGUUGGUGAGGUAACGGCUCACCAAGGCGACGAUGCGUAGCCGACCUGAGAGGGUGAUCGGCCACAUUGGGACUGAGACACGGCCCAGACUCCUACGGGAGGCAGCAGUGGGGAAUAUUGCACAAUGGGGGAAACCCUGAUGCAAGCAACGCCGCGUGAGUGAUGACGGUCUCCGGAUUGUAAAGCUCUGUCUUCAGGGACGAUAAUGACGGUACCUGAGGAGGAAGCCACGGCUAACUACGUGCCAGCCGCCGC